CCUACGGGCGGCAGCAGUGGGGAAUAUUGCACAAUGGGCGUAAGCCUGAUGCAGCGACGCCGCGUGAGUGAAGAAGUACUUCGGUAUGUAAAGCUCUAUUUGUCGGGAAGAAACUGCGGCUACGUGAAUCCGAACCCCCAGCUAACUACGUACCAGCAUCCGCGGUCAUACGGCGGGUGCGAGCGUUAAUCGGAUUUAUGGGGGUUAAAGGGGGCGUAGGCGGAUUUUUAAGGCAGCGGUAAAAUGGGCGGGCUCAACCGGGGCCGGCCGUUGAAACUGGGGAUCUUGAGUGGGCGAGAAGUAUGCGGAAUGCGUGGUGUAGCGGUGAAAUGCAUAGAUAUCACGCAGAACUCCGAUUGCGAAGGCAGCAUACCGGCGCCCGACUGACGCUGAGGCACGAAAGCGUGGGGAUCGAACAGGAUUAGAUACCCUGGUAGUC
rnacentral:rRNA from 1 species